rnacentral:lncRNA from 1 species
CACUGUAGCUGCGACUAUGGUUAGGUAUACACCGGCCUUCUUGAAGAUACAAAUACUUUAGCAAGGUAUCUGCGCAUGUUAAGAUGUUUAUACGUAAUCUUAUUUCGUUUAUUGGUGUCCACGCAGUGUUCGUGAUCUGGCUGUAUAGUGAUGUUGCGAUAUGUCAGAGAUACACCACGACUACCCCAGCACCGUUCAUUCCUGACUACGCCAAGCUAACCUGUUCCGACUACGAGACAGUGUUCGUUUCGGAUCUGUCCAACUGCAGCGUCUUUUAUCAUUGCGAGUUUGGAAAGCCUAGAAAGAAGCCGUGCGCUCGUAAAACAAUAUGGACGCCAUCUUUGCUGCGAUGCUUGCGCCCUAACGAAGCCGUGAACAGUGAAUGCGAAUUUGUUUACCGCGAAGAAGACUGGUCGACAACACUAGCGCCUAAGAAAUCGAAAAAGUCGCGGAAACGGAAUAACGCUGCUGCUGCGCUACAGUGGGGAUCGCCCUUUGAGUUACUAAUGUUGACAACAUUAUAUACUGCGUUUGCGGCUGCUAUACAAUAAAACGCACAGCGUUCGAUCGGUUGCAAAGGUGAGAGCAGGUAUUUUGCUUGCUGGUACCUCACAUUUAAUUCAUUAAUUACCGUAAUUUAAACGAGAUUAAAAAGACAUUUGUUGACCUGGAAAGUAAUUUAAUCUUUGGAAAAACUGGGUGUACAUAGACGUUUUGUUGGUGUAGGGGCUUCUAUAGUCCCAUUUGUUUUGUUUUGUAAGCAGUUAUUUUAUGGGUUGCGUACUGAGCCACCUAUCUAUAAAUCGACAACAGCCGUUGAUUCGUGCGCAGAGCUUGGUGAAUGUACAGCUAACUAAGAGGCUCGUCAACUCUUGCUCUGCGCGGUGAAUAUGUUAAGUAUAAAUAAAUUUGUAGAUGCAAGUUUUUUUAAUGCAAUAAAUAAUAUAACACAAAUGAUGAAUUGCGGCGUACUCUCCUUGCCACUUAAACAUCAUAAUUAAACGUGCUUUCUAUUUCUGCUGCUAUAUUUUUGAAUUCGUGUCAAGGGACGGAUAUUGACAAGCGGAUUGUUCAUUAGGCGUAGGUUUAUGCGUUUGAAUAAUUAUACAUUGUGGCAUAUGGCAAUAAAGUGGUUUUCUCUUUAUUUCUUUCUAUUUUUAGAGGCGUCCACUCUUGAAUAUUACCAGGAGAUAGCUAGAAUAAAUGUGUUUCUUUGCAGUGUUGCCAGAAACCCCUGGCCAGAGAUUCUCCUUUAGCGAAUGAUUUGAAUAACUUCUUAUGGAAGAUUUGUCGACGUCACGUGAUGGGCAAAAUUUCAAAGCAUGUAUUUACAUUAUUCUCAAUCGUGUUAGAACGCAGUAAAAUAAAUUGCCACGGCAUCACACUGUCACGAUAACAAUUUGUAGAAAGUUUGGUUAAGUUGUCUAUUGAAUCUAUACUACAGACAUUUAGAAAGCAGCUCGGGUAUUAAUUCAAAGCCGAUUUGUCAUGUAAUAAGAAUUUGCAAGGAUACGAGCGUACUCAUAAGAGCAUCAAGGGUUUCCUGAGUGAGGUGAUGAUAGCAAGUCUAAGAGCAGUGUACUCGCUUAAUUAAAGUUCAUUUUACUGUUUUCCUAAAA